UACGGAGGAUGCGAGCGUUAUCCGGAUUUAUUGGGUUUAAAGGGUGCGUAGGCGGAUCGUUAAGUCAGUGGUCAAAUUGAGGGGCUCAACCCCUUCCCGCCAUUGAAACUGGCGCUCUUGAGUGGAAGGGAAGUAUGCGGAAUGCGUGGUGUAGCGGUGAAAUGCAUAGAUAUCACGCAGAACCCCGAUUGCGAAGGCAGCAUGCCGGCUUCCGACUGACGCUGAAGCACGAAAGCGUGGGGAUCGAACAGG
rnacentral:rRNA from 1 species